GAUCAGAUAACCAGGCUCUUACCUUUUCCAUCAUUAAUGGAAAUAAUGGCAAUACAUUAAGCUAUUAACAAUAAUGGCGUUGUGAGCAACCGAGUGACACUUAAUCGAGAGACAGUACCAGAGUACAACCUCACCAUCACUGCUUCAGAUCUCGGAACUUCUCCAGCAUCCACUGUGUUGAGAGUCAUUGUCACCGAUGUCAAUGACAACUCUCCAGUCUUCCUCAACAGUGUCAACAACAGAUAUUUCUUCAAUGUCCAAGAAGGUCAAACACCCCCUGCUACAGUUGGAAGUGUUGCUGCUGUGGAUGGUGAUCAGAGUGGUACACCCCAGGCGACUGUCAUAUAUGACAUGGUCGGACCAAACACAUUGUA